rnacentral:rRNA from 1 species
CCUACGGGAGGCAGCAGUGGGGAAUAUUGCACAAUGGGGGAAACCCUGAUGCAGCGACGCCGCGUGAGUGAAGACGUAUCUCGGUACGUAAAGCUCUAUCAGCAGGGAAGAAAAUGACGGUACCUGACUAAGACGCCCCGGCUAACUACGUGCCAGCAGCCGCGGUAAUACGUAGGGGGCAAGCGUUAUCCGGAUUUACUGGGUGUAAAGGGAGCGUAGACGGCAGCGCAAGUCUGGAGUGAAAUCCCAUGGCUUAACCAUGGAACUGCUUUGGAAACUGUGCAGCUAGAGUGCAGGAGAGGUAAGCGGAAUUCCUAGUGUAGCGGUGAAAUGCGUAGAUAUUAGGAGGAACACCAGUGGCGAAGGCGGCUUACUGGACUGUAACUGACGUUGAGGCUCGAAAGCGUGGGGAGCAAACAGGAUUAGAUACCCCAGUAGUC